GACGAACGCUGGCGGCGUGCUUAACACACGCAAGUCGAACGGUAAGGCCCUUCGGGGUACACGAGUGGCGAGCGGGUGAGUAACACGUGGGUGAUCUGCCCUGCACUUCGGGAUAAGCCUGGGAAACUGGGUCUAAUACCGGAUAGGACCACUGCCUGCAUGGGUGGUGGUGGAAAGCUUUUGCGGUGUGGGAUGGGCCCGCGGCCUAUCAGCUUGUUGGUGGGGUGAUGGCCUACCAAGGCGACGACGGGUAGCCGGCCUGAGAGGGUGACCGGCCACACUGGGACUGAGAUACGGCCCAGACUCCUACGGGAGGCAGCAGUGGGGAAUAUUGCACAAUGGGCGCAAGCCUGAUGCAGCGACGCCGCGUGAGGGAUGACGGCCUUCGGGUUGUAAACCUCUUUCAGCACCGACGAAGCGCAAGUGACGGUAGGUGCAGAAGAAGGACCGGCCAACUACGUGCCAGCCGCCGCAGUAA
rnacentral:rRNA from 1 species